UUCUGCGAGGAUGGACAGAUUGAGAGUUCUUUCUUGAUUCGGUGGAUGGUGGUGCAUCUCCGUUCUUAGUUGGUGGAACGAUUUGUCUGGAUAAUUCCGAUAAGGAACGAGACUCUAGCGAGGUGCAUAGUUAUCUGCACCUUGCAUCAUUCUUAGGACAAGGGGCUCCUAGCCGCACGAAACAGAGCAAUAAGAGGUCUGUGAUGCCCUUACAU
rnacentral:rRNA from 1 species